GAAAGGGAAUCGGAACACAGGUGCUGCAUUGGCUGUCGUCAGCUCGUGUCGUGAGAUGUUGGGUUAAGUCCCGCAACGAGCGCAACCCUUAUCAUUAGUUGCUACGCAAGGGCACUCUAAUGAGACUGCCGGUGACAAACCGGAGGAAGGUGGGGAUGACGUCAAGUCCUCAUGGCCCUUAUAGGUGGGGCUACACACGUCAUACAAUGGCUGGUACAAAGGGUUGCCAACCCGCGAGGGGGAGCCAAUCCCAUAAAGCCAGUCGUAGUCCGGAUCGUAGUCUGCAACUCGACUACGUGAAGUCGGAAUCGCUAGUAAUCGUGGAUCAGAAUGUCACGGUGAAUACGUUCCCGGGUCUU
rnacentral:rRNA from 1 species